GUUGGAUGCUUGCAUUUAACUGACCUUCAUUGAGACGAGUGGCGAACUGGUGAGUAACACGUGGGUAACCUGCCCUUGAAGUAGGGGAUAACACUUGGAAACAGGUGCUAAUACCGUAUAACAACCAAAACCACCUGGUUUUGGUUUAAAAGAUGGCUUCGGCUAUCACUUUAGGAUGGACCCGCGGCGUAUUAGCUUGUUGGUAAGGUAACGGCCUACCAAGGCAAUGAUACGUAGCCGACCUGAGAGGGUAAUCGGCCACAUUGGGACUGAGACACGGCCCAAACUCCUACGGGAGGCAGCAGUAGGGAAUCUUCCACAAUGGACGAAAGUCUGAUGGAGCAACGCCGCGUGAGUGAUGAAGGGUUUCGGCUCGUAAAACUCUGUUGUUGGAGAAGAACAGGUGUGAGAGUAACUGUUCACAUCUUGACGGUAUCCAACCAGAAAGCCACGGCUAACUACGUGCCAGCAGCCGCGGUAAUACGUAGGUGGCAAGCGUUGUCCGGAUUUAUUGGGCGUAAAGCGAGCGCAGGCGGUUUCUUAGGUCUGAUGUGAAAGCCUUCGGCUUAACCGGAGAAGUGCAUCGGAAACCAGGAGACUUGAGUGCAGAAGAGGACAGUGGAACUCCAUGUGUAGCGGUGAAAUGCGUAGAUAUAUGGAAGAACACCAGUGGCGAAGGCGGCUGUCUGGUCUGUAACUGACGCUGAGGCUCGAAAGCAUGGGUAGCGAACAGGAUUAGAUACCCUGGUAGUCCAUGCCGUAAACGAUGAGUGCUAAGUGUUGGA
rnacentral:rRNA from 1 species